AUUGAACGCUGGCGGCAGGCCUAACACAUGCAAGUCGAACGAGUGGCGGACGGGUGAGUAAUGUCUGGGAAACUGCCUGAUGGAGGGGGAUAACUACUGGAAACGGUAGCUAAUACCGCAUACCAUCAGAUGUGCCCAGAUGGGAUUAGCUUGUUGGUGGGGUAACGGCUCACCAAGGCGACGAUCCCUAGCUGGUCUUAGCGGAUGACAGAGGGAGUGGGGUAACGAGUCACCAAGGGGGCGGUGCCUAGCCGGUCUGAAAGAAUGAGCAGCAAAACUGGGAAUGAGUAACGGUCCAAGAUCAAUCAGGAGGCAGCGGAGGAAGGCUGAUGAAGCCAUGCCGCGUGAGUGAAGAAGGGUUUCGGAGCGUAAAGCUCUGGUGUUGGAGAAGAACGUUGGUAGGAGUGGAAAAUCUACCAAGGGACGGUAACUAAACAGAAAGGGACGGCUAACUACGUGCCAGCAGCCGCGGUAAUAC
rnacentral:rRNA from 1 species